rnacentral:lncRNA from 1 species
GAGUGUGGGUAUUAUUUUUGUUCGGUUUUGUGAUAGAGUUUCGGUAGAAUUAGAAUUCUAAGACGGUUGGGUGGUUGAGAAUGUAGUGGGUUAAUGCCAAUUAAAAUGAAAUCUUUUAUUUUUUUUAUUUUGUUUUUCUCUCUCUCAAAGUUUUAACGUUCUUUUUCUGUGACUAGAAAAAUUCUUCCUUUUUCUUUACUUUUGAAAUCCUGUCGAAAUCCUAUCAAUCAACCUCGAAUUUUUGGUUCCCUGCUUUCAUACGUUUUGG